rnacentral:rRNA from 1 species
CCUUAACGAGGAUCAAUUGGAGGGCAAGUCUGGUGCCAGCAGCCGCGGUAAUUCCAGCUCCAAUAGCGUAUAUUUAAGUUGCUGCAGUUAAAAAGCUCGUAGUUGGAUUUCGGGUGGGGCCUGCCGGUCCGCCGUUUCGGUGUGCACUGGCAGGGCCCACCUUGUUGCCGGGGACGGGCUCCUGGGCUUCACUGUCCGGGACUCGAGUCGGCGCUGUUACUUUGAGUAAAUUAGAGUGUUCAAAGCAGGCCUACGCUCUGAAUACAUUAGCAUGGAAUACACGAUAGGACUCUGGCCUAUCCUGUUGGUCUGUAGGACCGGAGUAAUGAUUAAGAGGGACAGUCGGGGCAUUCGUAUUUCAUUGUCAGAGGUGAAAUUCUUGGAUUUAUGAAAGACGAACUACUGCGAAAGCAUUUG